rnacentral:tRNA from 1 species
GCCUGGGUGGCUCAGUCGCUUGAGCGUCUGACUUCGGCUCAGGUCAUGAUCUCACAGUCUGUGAGUUCGAGCCCUGCAUCAGGCU